rnacentral:lncRNA from 1 species
GGACACAAAGCCCUUUCCAAUAUAUACAUCUCCCUUAGAAAUUACAACUUUAUUGGAUUCUAAAAUAAUCUUAAAACCUAAUUAGACUAGAAAAGAACCACUAAACAAAUUUCUUCUUAUGGCUGGUACAAGCUGCACAUUUCAAAGAAUUUAAGUUUUUCCUGAAGUAAAUUUCAGGUUAACUGUUCCACUUUCAAGAACUUUGAUAGCUGUUCCAUCACCCA